CUCAGCUUGGGCAUUUGGAUCUCCACGAGCUUCCAGGUGACUCAGCUGAGGCUGAGAACCACUGCUGAGUCAGUAGCUUGAGAUGAUCCUGGGAAUCUGAAAUUUGAAGAUGCCUGCUGUAGGUCUCCAGUCAGGUAUGGGGGAUUCCAGGCUGUUCAUCAGAUAGUGAAGCAAUCCUCAUAGGAAAAGAAACGGGAGGCUGGUAAUGAAGCUCAGCAGCCAGCAACUCAGAAGGCUGCCGUUUGUGACUCUGCUGAACUCUCUUGCCCUCUACUGCCACCAGCCAAUGGGAACCCCAGCCAGAUUGGUGGGCUAAAGGGGAGUGGGGUGGGGCUCUAGCACUCAUCCUCUGGCCCAUCCUGCUGGGCUGCUGGGUGGCAGUGGCUGUGUUCCCGUCCUGAAGAUCACAGCUCCGGUCUGGCAGCCCCCUGAAGCUCCUGUUUCUGCUUAUUGCUCCUGUCCCGUUGCUCCCUCUGCCUCAGCGUGCCAGAAGCUCCCUGUUCUCACUAGCCUCAGGGUUCCUUUCCAUUCCCAAUGCUGCCCCUCGACCCUGCCUUCUUUGGUAUACUCCCACAUAUAAUCUAAGAUCGACCCUGGGAGUUUGCUUGUCCAGAGAUAUCUAGGCCUAAACUCUGAGGUUAGAGGGCCAUUUCUGGAUUUCAAACUUGCUCUGUAAAGCAUCACAGCCCCCAAGUAGGAAGUCAGUUAGUAUAGUCACUCAUUUCUCAACCUUCCCUGUUCUUAUCAGAUGAAAGUCUUGACUGAAUUGCAUUAGUGCAAAGCCUGUGUCUGAAUUGCAUGGACAUUCAUGUCAUGGGCCUUUACAUCUACAGAGUAGAUGUAAAGAAAGUCUGUUAGGUAGGUUUUUAUGUUUUUAAAAAUGAAUUAGUGCUGGAGAGAUGGCUCAGUGAUUA